CAGUCGCCGCGGUAAUACCGAGGGUGCGAGCGUUAAUCGGAUUUACUGGGCGUAAAGCGUGCGUAGGCGGCUUCUUAAGUCGGAUGUGAAAUCCCUGAGCUUAACUUAGGAAUUGCAUUCGAUACUGGGAAGCUAGAGUAUGGGAGAGGAUGGUAGAAUUCCAGGUGUAGCGGUGAAAUGCGUAGAGAUCUGGAGGAAUACCGAUGGCGAAGGCAGCCAUCUGGCCUAAUACUGACGCUGAGGUACGAAAGCAUGGGGAGCAAACAGGAUUAGAUACCCGGGUAGUCCCUGUCUCUUAUAC
rnacentral:rRNA from 1 species